GAAGGGAGCUGUAGUUUGUUGGCUGUGCUGGGAAGAAGGAGGAGUCAGUGCUGUGAGGAGCUGCCCAGGAGAAAUACCGAGAAGCUUUAUGACAGUCUCUCUAGGAGACUGAGCUCUUUCAAGCUUUAGUUUCAUCCAGAGUGAUCUGCUAUUUUCUUUGGGUUCCUCAAAAGUGUAGAUGGCUUCUUACCAGCUACCAGUAUGGUUUUCAAGAACAGAGAAAGGAUCAGCUCUUACUGAUACAGAUCUGUGCUCCAGCUCAUUUCUUAAAUACUCACCCAUUUUAGCCACAGCCAUUGUUACAUUAAUAGCCAUUGCAACUAGCUCAAAAGAUUAUUUCCCUCAGGCUGAAUAUUCUUUGUGAUAUUGCUCUUCAGAAAUUUUCCUCAACAGAAGAUUCUGAAGUGUUAUUGAGCAUUCCUGAAGUAAAUAAAACUGACUUCUUUCUCA